CCUACUGCUCUUUGAUAAGUGAUAUCAUAGCCGGAUUUGGGUAUAACCAGAGAAUGUCUAGGGCUCUGGUAUAGCCUAAUGAUGGAAAAUAAAAUGGACUGGCACAACGUCAUGCACAGUGGUCUUGGGAACAUCGAAGGCUUCUGCAACAACCCUGUAGGAGGUGGCACUGGAUAACCAAUACUGAAUGAUGACAACCUCCAGUCUCUCCCCCAGCCUCCAUCACAGUCCACUUCAAGUGUGUCCACAAGGGCAUUGACAGAAGUCGUUCUUCAGAUCCACAUCUCCAAAGAGGAGACGGACAAUAGCCUAGAUAGAAUAGUGUUGCCAUUCAGUUAGCAAUAUUGUCCCCUGGGGUCAUUCUGAGAGAAUGUGCACUUGUUGUUUUUCUUGAUGUUAAAGUUCAGACAUUUUAAUCAAUUGAAAGUAUUUUGUUCAAUGUUUAGUGUCAUUUGUAAGGUAACUGUCAUACAGUGGUCAUUAUGGGAUUAUCAAUUGUCAGUGUAGCACAGUUACAUUUACUUAAUUUCACAUUUCACUUAGUUGCAAACCCAAGUCUUGCCAAUAAUGACACCUUUUUGAUCCAUUAACCAUGGUUGCAUACGCCUUCAUAAGAAAAGACAACUGUAGGCUACAAUAUUGUUAGUUUCUCUAGGCAUAUUGGUCUAAUCACUCUGAAUUCCUGCUGAAGAACGAGAUUAAAGACCAUCAGUAUUGCA